rnacentral:tRNA from 1 species
CAAAUUGUAGCUUAACUAAAGCUAUUCGCUUACACCGAAGUAAUAUCUGUGCAACCCAGAUCAUUUUGA